rnacentral:rRNA from 1 species
UGCGCAGGCGGUUUUGUAAGCCAGAUGUGAAAUCCCCGAGCUUAACUUGGGAACUGCGUUUGGAACUACAAGACUAGAGUGUGUCAGAGGGGGGUAGAAUUCCACGUGUAGCAGUGAAAUGCGUAGAGAUGUGGAGGAAUACCGAUGGCGAAGGCAGCCCCCUGGGAUAACACUGACGCUCAUGCACGAAAGCGUGGAGAGCAAACA